GUACUUUAGUGAUGAAAGUUAUAGAGCCUCAGUUCACACACCUUCCCUUGUCUUCUUCUCCCUUAAACAAACCAACCCUUUACUUUAAAACCGAAUCAAACCUUCUUCGCUAUUCAAUAUGCCUCGAAGUCAAUACCCUCGUCUCUCUGCUCUCGAGCUAGCUAAUCUUUAGUAUCAUCAACCUAAAGACUGCCAUCGUCGGCAGCAUAUGCUGAGACUUCAAUAGCUGGACGAGCAUCUUGGCAGUUGGCUGAAGGACUUCCAUAUUUUUCAAGAUUGUUGCACCAUCAUUUGUGAUGAGGACCUCGCUGCUGGCAGUGAAAUUCAUCUUGUCCAUGCGGACCAUACCCUUGGAGCCGAGACUGGUAUCAGCCACAACUCAAGCUACCACGAUGUUGGCCUGAUAUGUCUUCUUUGCGCUUGUUGCCGACAAAGGACUUGGUUUUAGAAGAUGUAGGGCGAGGUUAAGAAAUAGGCGAAGCUGCCAUUGGUAGGUUUAAAACUUAACAAAUGGUUGUGUAGGGUGAGAAAUAGUGUAUAUUUACUUAAAAGAGGUGUUUUGUUGAAAAUUAUUGGCCACAAGACUUACUCCAUCCAAGGUUUAAAAAUUUAAAUA